GUGCUCUCUUUGGCAGCACAUAUACUAAAAUUGGAACGAUACAGAGAAGAUUAGCAUGGUCCCUGUGCAAGGAUGACACGUAAAAUAGAUUUCCUUUAAAAAAUAUC